rnacentral:rRNA from 1 species
AUGAGCCUUUGCAAGCCGAACCACCUGCAGGAUCUUUGCAUUUCUAUACCGCCUUCUUCAGAUUACGACCAUCUGUACAGAAACAUGAAUGCUCUGGAUUGUUUAAUGUAUGAACACGGCAGCCUGAAAACUGUAAAACUGGUGGCUCAUAGAUCGUCGGCUAGCUAUGGUGACGCUUCAAGAGCAAGAGUUGGCUGGAUUUUAAAUAGACCCAACCACCAUCUCGAGAGAUUUGAGGUCUCAGCUUACAGCCCCGUCAUAUUUUGCAAAAUGCGUUUGUGGAAAAUCCAACUUGACAACCUAUGCAUUCUGAAGAUUGCAGUGGAUGGACUGUCAGUAAAUGAUGCUGAUAUCCUCAGAGGGUUGCCUGCCCUCACUGCUCUGUCGUUGUAUGUGGAGAAGUCACCUAAUAUUAAGAUAAUCUUUGGCACGGCUGCUGGAUUCACAGCUCUCCAGUACUUGAAGCUGAGGUUCAUGAGUGGAAUAGCUUGGCUAAGAUUUGAAGCAGACGCAAUGCCUAAUCUCUGGAAACUCAGGCUCGUUUUCGACGCCAUCCCCCAAAUGGACCAACGACUUGACCUUUAUUCGGAGCCUGGCCAGUGGAAACAAUAUCGACAUGGUACUGCAUUAAUCAGCAUCGACCAUAUGACAGGCCUUAGAGAGGUUUCUGCCAAAUUUGGGGGUGCAGCUGCUGAUCUGAAGUAUGUGUCAAGGAUCGGCGUAGUUAGUAAUCAUCCGAGCAAUCCUAUAAUUGACGUGCAACUGGUGGAUUCUGGUUCCCGUGGUGAUAAAAGGUAG